rnacentral:lncRNA from 1 species
UGUUCACCCAGUUUGGCCAAGCCUAAUCUGGGGGGCUCAGAGGCAAAAGUUCCAAGCCUGUCACUAUGCAAGAACCUCACAAGAAAGAGCAACAGUUUGUUUACAAGGUUCGGAUCUCAACUUACACACAAUCAGAUCAUCGAUCCAACAAAAGGAUCUCACAAUACUCCACCAAAUCAGAACCUGACCUAGACCAAAAAUAGUAUCUGAAUUCACGGUUUAAUAUCUACUGAAACAAGGAAAAAAACUGCUCAAAUACAAGACCAAACAUCGGCUA